UGCAGUCGAGCGCGAAUGGAGCAAUCCUAGUAGAGCGGCGCACGGGUGCGUAACACGUGGGUAAUCUGCCCGGGUGUCUGGGAUAACCAGUCGAAAGACUGGCUAAUACCGGAUAAGCCCCCGGCCUCUUCGGAGGCUGAGGGAAAAGAUGGCCUCUGUACACAAGCUAUCACACCUGGAUGAGCCCGCGGCCCAUCAGCUAGUUGGCGGGGUAAUGGCCCACCAAGGCAACGACGGGUAGCUGGUCUGAGAGGACGAUCAGCCACACUGGAACUGAGACACGGUCCAGACUCCUACGGGAGGCAGCAGUGGGGAAUUUUGCGCAAUGGGCGAAAGCCUGACGCAGCAACGCCGCGUGUGUGAUGAAGGUCUUCGGAUUGUAAAGCACUUUCGACCGGGACGAAAACCCUCUGGCUAACAUCCAGGGGCUUGACGGUACCGGGAGAAGAAGCACCGGCUAACUCUGUGCCAGCAGCCGCGGUAAUACAGAGGGUGCAAGCGUUGUUCGGAAUUAUUGGGCGUAAAGCGCGUGUAGGCGGCUUUGCAAGUCGGGUGUGAAAGCCCUCAGCUCAACUGAGGAAGUGCGCCCGAAACUGCAGAGCUUGAGUGCCGGAGAGGGUGGCGGAAUUCCC
rnacentral:rRNA from 1 species